AUACAUAUCUGGCGUAGGGAUACCGUGAUCAUGCAGGCGGUUCCCCCAGAGUAAGGCUGCUCCAUUGCACUGCGGAGUGGUUAACCCUUGCGAUUAUUUUUAUUUUUUAUAAGUUUCGCUUUUACCGUGUGUGACUUGCACACACAAAUUUAUUUUUGAAUUUUC
rnacentral:snRNA from 1 species